GGAUUAAAUCGGUGCUCUAGCGGGUGGGGCAGACCUGGGCUAGCAGGCCCCAGGGAGAACUCCAAUGGCGUUUGUGUCAGCACGCCCACACCAGGCCACAACAAUGGCCGCCGCCAAUGUCCCAGUCCCUGGAGAGGUCUCACCUCUCACCGAGAUGCACUCAGGGCCUAUCAGAUUCUGCUGAAUGAGCAGUCAUUCAUUUGAUCCUAUCCUUCUGGGCAUGACUGGCCAGAUUGGUGAUGGACAAGUGUCAUAAGGAACUUGGACAAUAUCUUUUUUUCCAGAGACAGAGCAGAGAGAACUCUCCUUUCACAAGAUACCAGAGACUCCAUAGAUCAGAAGAAAUGAACACGGAGAUGUUAAAGAACCUGCCUAAGGGGACACAACUAGAAGAUGGUGGAGCCAUGAUUCAAAUCCAGGCCACCUGGCUCCAGAGCUCACCCUCUAACCACCACGUUCCUGCUUCUCGUGAGCAAAGGCAUGUGCAAAGAGGCUGCUGGAUUUUGACGCGGGGGAGAUGAGAUGCGGGGAGAAAGUUUGUGGAGAAGAGUCCUAUAAAUGCUAUUUUUGGAGGUGAGCAGGGCUAGGAGUUGAAGAGAAGAUGGCUGCUCCUGACAUCAAUUCCACAUGUUCUUUCAUCCCGCUGUUCUUUAAGAGGAAGUGACAGACACUUUACUAGGACAGCAUCAAGAAAACUGAUUUUCAUUUAGGAAGAAAUGCUUUUGAAGGAAGAAAAAGUCUGAUAGAAUAAUAACUUUGUGCUGGAGCAAAUGGGCUCAGAGAUGGUUGUAGCUGCCCAACCUGUCUUGUUCUUCUCUUUUUCCUGCUUUGAAUGAAGCCAAGAUGGUUGGAACUGCAAACCCAUCUGUGACCAGAAGAUCACCUCAACCUCAUUGAGCUUUUGAGUUGACACCAACAACUGCCCACCUCCAAAUUUCUUACUGUAUGGGGGAAAAAAAUCUUUUCUAUUCUUCUAAGCUACUGAUGGCUUUUCUCUUAUGGCUUUUCUCUUAUGUGAUUCUCUAUGUUUAGGAAGGCAUUCCUAAAACAUAAACCCUGCUACUUUUACAACUGCUUUUGAAACAUAUUUCUUUAGAGAGUUCAUCAAAAUUGACUGCUCUAGGAGUGUAUAUGACUUCAUGAAAAAAAACAGAUUGGUUUUUAAAUGAGUAUUUCAAAGAAAUUGUACAAUUUAGAGUUGGAAGGAACGUUAGAGAUCAUCUAAUUCAUAAGUUAUUAAUGGUGGAUAUUCAUCAAAAUUACCAUUGGAACUUUAAAGAAAUAUACAUAUCUGGGCCUCAUGCUCAGCCUCAUUGUGGUUCAGUAGAGCUCAGAUAGGGCCCAGGCAUCUGUAUUUUUUUUAACUAUAGGGUGAUUCUAACAGAUGGCCAGAGAUGAAAGUUACUGAUCUAUUUCUACUCCCCUCAAACAAUGAUCUGUGGACUAACCUGAGAUGUGUGGACUAGAAUUUUGCAGCCCACAUAGGGGAAGUAACUUUUUGCAAUUGUAUUACUAGACAAACCCCAAAUCCUGGUAAAUAGGAAGAAAAGAGUUAUUUUUAAUUCAAGCUAACAAUCAAGAAAAUAAAAAUAUGAAGAAUGGGAUUUGAUAUAAUUCUUUCCAUUCUCUCAUGCUUCCCUGAAAAUUUCACCUUUAGUUCCACCGCUCACAAUUGUUCCAAUUUCCAGAGUCUGCUGAGUUUUAGUCCAAUGAUGCGGGUCUAUCUUCUUUGAAAGAUUAGGCCAAAUUAAUGAAUGGCGGAAGCUUGGAUUGGGCCGUUGGCUGAACAUGGUGUUAGCUGUCACUGUGCCCUCCGCAACCCCUAACAUCUCUACCUAGAGAAAGUGAAUUUGCCACUGAAGCUGAUUUGGGCAUUGCUUGGUUGAUUUGUAUUUCAGUUAUAUGUACAAUUACUUUAGAGAUUCUUCCAGACCUCAUCUGACAAGUCAUUCAGGUUUUUAUUUAAUGUGAAGUCUCAAAUAAUUUAGAUAAUUUAUUAUUAAUAAACAACUAUUCUCCAAAAUGAGCUCCAAUAAGUUUUUAGAUAUAAGGUAAAGAUUCAGAAAUAGUUAUUACUUCUGGGCCUGAAAUAAUAAGGAAACACUUUAAAUAUCAAAUUAUGCCUUAUUAAAGAUAAGUUGUACCACUCUCUUGAGCCCAUUCAGCUCCAAUUUAGCCAUUUUCCAUUUAAAACCAGGUUGUUCUUAUUUUGUUAAUUGGUAGCUCAUCCUAGGAAAUGUAUUUUGUAUGCAUAUAUGUUCAAAUACA